rnacentral:rRNA from 1 species
ACUGGUUGCCCACUGAAGCUAAGCAGGGUUGAGGCUGGUUAGUACCUGGAUGAGAGACCUCCUGAGAAAACUAGGUUGCUGCCUGCA